AAUCUAAACCCAUUUCAUUUUAGACCUGAAUAAAACUUUUCUUUGGGAAAGGCACAAAGUUGAUGGAAUUAUUUUUCCUGCUCAAUUAAAUUUGCAUUUGGGUUAAAUUAAUUUUGUUUCUUCUGAUUCAUUUACUAAACUGUAUUUCCACUGUGUGUAUUGUUUUGGAUUAAGAAGCUUUCUUCUCUUAGUCCAAUAGUACUUGAUAUGAAGCUUUACGCCCUUGUUACCCAUGGAUUAUUAGUUUAUGAUUUUAGAGAAUAUUGCAAAAAUCAUCCAUAAAGCAAAAAGAUGGGAUAGUAAAAAAAACCUCUAUACACCCCCUUUUCCAUUCACCAUCUUUAACCAUGUUUUGAUGCAAGGCCUCACCAACUCCUGUCACAGAAAGGACGCACAAGAGCACACCCAAGUAAUAGGGGAAAUAUAUCUAUUGAAUUUCAUCACAAAAAUACAUCAAUAACCUUAGCCUAAUAAGAGGGCUUUACUCUCCACAAUGAACUAUUGUUCAUCCACAUAAAAUACACAUAAACCUAGAUAACUAACCCUAGCACAAAACACCCAAUAUAGACUAACAUCGUUCAUCCACAUAAAACACACAUAAACCUUGAUAACUAACCCUAGCACAAAACACCCAAAUAUAUACUAACAUUUCCUAAGAACAUAGGACCACAACAACUACCCUUUUGUCGGGGUGAAAACCCCUUCCUACCCCUCCUCCUAUAUACUUGCUUAAUAGGUGGCCUUGCAAUACCCUAAUGGAGAAGAGUUACCUUAUCCUCAAGGUGAAAAUUAGGGAACUGGGCCUUAAGGACAGCGUACGAUUCCCAACUUUGGACGGGAAGGAUCAGACUCACAACAAUAAGGGCGAUAGAGUGGCCAUGGUGGAGAACAUGGUGAGGCAUUUGGCUAUCACCAAGGACACCAUAACAACUGGUCACACAUCCAUCCAUCUCCACAGCCGCAAGCCUACGCUGUUGCUGCUUCUUCAUCGUCAUCAUCAAUGGAAAACCUUCUCUGCGAGUACAUGCAAAAGAAUGAUGCCCUUUUGUAGAGUCGGGCUGCUACCAUCCGCAAUCUGAGUUACAGAUGGAGCAAAUUGCCAGUGACAUCUUCGAAAGACUAAGGGGAUCCCUCCCUAACAGUACUGAAACGCCAAACCAAGUGGGGGAUCGAAAAAGGAUCAGUGUCAAUCUGUGAUGCUAAGAAACGCAAGGAACUUAACCAUCCGCGAACUAGACCAAGAAUAAAUGACAGUACUGAAAAACAAGAAAGUUGAGACUACCAGAGAAGAUCUAAAAUGCAGGCAGACGUCUAAUUAGGCGUCAUCAUCUAAUCUGUUGCCUCUCUUUUGACCCAGCAUAGCCUUACUGCCACAUCACUUGCGUUGCACUUCAGUUUGAAAGGUUGCGACCAAUCAGGUGUGAUGAGGAUAAGCAUUGAGGUCAAUGCGUCUUUCAAAGUUUGGAACACCUAGUUGCAUUUCUCAUCAAACAUAUAGGGUUGGUUGGCGCUUAAUAGGUUGCUCAAUGGCUUAGCGAGCUGAGAGAAACCUCAAGUGAAUCUUUUGUAAAAGCCAGCAUGUCCCAAAAAGCUUCGUAAACAUUUGAUAUCAGAAGGCGUUGGAAACUUGCUCACCACAUUAAUCUUCGCAUGGUCUACUUCUAAGCCUGCUUGGAGAGCUUGUGCCCUAGCAAAAUCCCCUCGAUUAUCAUUAAAUUACACUUUUCCUUGUUGUGUAUUAAGCAUGUCUUCUUCCAUCUCUUCAAUACCUCUUCCAAGUUGUUCAGACAUUCGAUAUAUGAUUUCCAAAGAUUGAGAAGUCAUUCAUAAAAAUUUCUACUGAUCUGUUUAAAAA